rnacentral:rRNA from 1 species
UACGGGGGGGGUAAGCGUUGUUCGGAAUUACUGGGCGUAAAGCGCGCGCAGGCGGUCUUCCAAGUCAGUGGUGAAAGCCUGGAGCUCAACUCCAGAACUGCCAUUGAAACUGUUAGACUUGAGUACGAGAGAGGUGAGUGGAAUUCCCAGUGUAGAGGUGAAAUUCGUAGAUAUUGGGAAGAACACCAGUGGCGAAGGCGGCUCACUGGCUCGUAACUGACGCUCAGGCGCGACAGCGUGGGGAUCAAACAGG